rnacentral:rRNA from 1 species
CUACGGGGGGCUGCAGUGGGGAAUAUUGGGCAAUGGGCGCAAGCCUGACCCAGCAACGCCGCGUGAGGGAAGAAGGUUUUCGGAUUGUAAACCUCUGUCCUUGGGGACGAAGAAGUGACGGUACCCAAGGAGGAAGCUCCGGCUAACUACGUGCCAGCAGCCGCGGUAAUACGUAGGGAGCAAGCGUUGUCCGGAAUUACUGGGCGUAAAGGGUGCGUAGGCGGCAUAUUAAGUCAGGUGUGAAAUACUCGGGCUCAACCCGGGGGCUGCAUUUGAAACUGAUAUGCUUGAGUGUGAGAGAGGAAAGUGGAAUUCCUAGUGUAGCGGUGGAAUGCGUAGAUAUUAGGAGGAACACCAGUGGCGAAGGCGACUUUCUGGCUCAUAACUGACGCUGGGGCACGAAAGCGUGGGGAGCAAACAGGAUUAGAUACCCGCGUAGUC